AUUGAACGCUAGCGGCAGGCUUAACACAUGCAAGUCGAGCGGAGAUGAGGUGCUUGCACCUUAUCUUAGCGGCGGACGGGUGAGUAAUGCUUAGGAAUCUGCCUAUUAGUGGGGGACAACAUUCCGAAAGGAAUGCUAAUACCGCAUACGUCCUACGGGAGAAAGCAGGGGAUCUUCGGACCUUGCGCUAAUAGAUGAGCCUAAGUCGGAUUAGCUAGUUGGUGGGGUAAAGGCCUACCAAGGCGACGAUCUGUAGCGGGUCUGAGAGGAUGAUCCGCCACACUGGGACUGAGACACGGCCCAGACCCCUACGGGAGGCAGCAGUGGGGAAUAUUGGACAAUGGGGGGAACCCUGAUCCAGCCAUGCCGCGUGUGUGAAGAAGGCCUUAUGGUUGUAAAGCACUUUAAGCGAGGAGGAGGCUACUGAGACUAAUACUCUUGGAUAGUGGACGUUACUCGCAGAAUAAGCACCGGCUAACUCUGUGCCAGCCGCCGCGGUAA
rnacentral:rRNA from 1 species